rnacentral:rRNA from 1 species
UACAGAGGUCCCAAGCGUUGUUCGGAGUUACUGGGCGUAAAGGGUGCGUAGGCGGCUUUUUAAGUCUGGUGUGAAAUCUCCCGGCUCAACUGGGAGGGUGCGCCGGAUACUGAGGGGCUAGAGUGUGGGAGAGGAAAGUGGAAUUCCUGGUGUAGCGGUGAAAUGCGUAGAUAUCAGGAGGAACACCGGUGGUGUAAACGGCUUUCUGGACCAUAACUGACGCUGAGGCACGAAAGCGUGGGUAGCAAACAGG